ACUUUACGGAACCCCAGUAUUUAUUAGAUUUUAAACCAGCAUUCCGCAAGGUCUACUGAGAUGAUUCAUGAUAACUGAUCGAAUUGCUGGGUCUACCAGCAAUAAAUCAUUCAUGUUUCUGCUUCCCAUCAGCUUGAUGGUAGUGUAUUGGACAACCAUGGCAUUCACGGGCUAUCGGGGGAUUAGGGUUCGAUUCCGGAGAGGGAGCCUGAGAAACGGCUACCACUUCUACGGAAGGCAGCAGGCGCGAAAAUUAUCCAAUCCUGAUUCAGGGAGGUAGUGAAAGAAAUAAUGAACUAGGAUUUAUCCUGGGAUCACAAUGGGCUUGAUUUGCAAACUUUAUUAGCGAGGACAAUUGGAGGGCAAGUCUGGUGCCAGCAGCCGCGGUAAUUCCAGCUCCAAUAGUGUAUAUUAAUGUUCCUGCAGUUAUUCGAUGCUCGUAGUUGGAUUUCUGGGGGCUGAUUCUGGACGGCGGCUAUGGCCGCCACCGGUUUCUUCCUUCAUCCACCUGUUAACGUUGUUCGAGAUUCAUUUCUCGGCUUCGGGCUCAGGUAUUUUACCCUUACUAUAUUCAUUUAUUUAUCUUCUUUUUGAGCAAAUUAUAGUGUUUCAGGCAGGCGUGCGCCGGAAUACUUUAGCAUGGAAUAAUCGAAUUGGACUGUGUUCCUUAUUUGUUGGUUUGAUGGGCACAGAAUGGUUAAUAGGGAUAGUAAUUUUCAGGGGAGGCAUUAGUAUUUAAUUUCCAGAGGUGAAAUUCUUUGAAAUAUUAAAGACUAACUUAUGCGAAAGCAUUUAUUUUGCCAAUAAUGUUUUCAUUAAUCAUUGAACGAAAGUUAGGGGAUCAAAGACGAUCAGAUACCGUCCUAGUCUUAACCAUAAACGUUGCCGACUAGGGAUCGGAGGGCGUGCACAUUCCGCCUUCGGCACCUUACGAGAAAUCAAAGUCUUUUGGGUUCUGGGGGUAGUAUGGUCGCAAGGCUGAAACUUAAAGGAAUUGACGGAAGGGCACCACCAGGAGUGGAGCUUGCGGCUCAAUUUGACUCAACACGGGAAAUCUUACCAGGUCCAGACAUAGCGAGGAUUGACAGAUUGAUAGCUCUUUCUUGAUUCUAUGGGUAUUUUUGGUGGUGCAUGGCCGUUCUUAGUUGGUGGAGUGAUUUGUCUGGUUAAUUCCGUUAAACGAACGAGACCUCAGCCUGCUAAAUAGUUACA
rnacentral:rRNA from 1 species